AAGUCGUAACAAGGUUUCCGUAGGUGAACCUGCGGAAGGAUCAUUAACGUAUCUCUGACGGCGAGGGCCCGUCCAGCUCCGUCCCGAAAAGGGGCGUGCAGCGGGCGUUCCCGAGUCGCUCAACCUUUGCAAACCCACCGUGCACUUUUGUCGGCGGAGGGCCUUUGCGGGCCCCGAGCCGGAUCACAAACUCCAAGUUUGAUUUUGAAUGUGAAGCGGACAUGUGCCGCCUAAAACUUUAACAACUUUCAACAACGGAUCUCUUGGCUCUC
rnacentral:misc_RNA from 1 species